rnacentral:rRNA from 1 species
AGAGUUUGAUUCUGGCUCAGAACGAACGCUGGCGGCGUGGAUAAGACAUGCAAGUCGAACGAGAGAAUUGCUAGCUUGCUAAUAAUUCUCUAGUGGCGCACGGGUGAGUAACACGUGAGUAACCUGCCCCCGAGAGCGGGAUAGCCCUGGGAAACUGGGAUUAAUACCGCAUAGUAUCGAAAGAUUAAAGCAGCAAUGCGCUUGGGGAUGGGCUCGCGGCCUAUUAGUUAGUUGGUGAGGUAACGGCUCACCAAGGCGAUGACGGGUAGCCGGUCUGAGAGGAUGUCCGGCCACACUGGAACUGAGACACGGUCCAGACACCUACGGGUGGCAGCAGUCGAGAAUCAUUCACAAUGGGGGAAACCCUGAUGGUGCGACGCCGCGUGGGGGAAUGAAGGUCUUUGGAUUGUAAACCCCUGUCAUGUGGGAGCAAAUUAAAAAGAUAGUACCACAAGAGGAAGAGACGGCUAACUCUGUGCCAGCAGCCGCGGUAAUACAGAGGUCUCAAGCGUUGUUCGGAAUCACUGGGCGUAAAGCGUGCGUAGGCUGUUUCGUAAGUCGUGUGUGAAAGGCGCGGGCUCAACCCGCGGACGGCACAUGAUACUGCGAGACUAGAGUAAUGGAGGGGGAACCGGAAUUCUCGGUGUAGCAGUGAAAUGCGUAGAUAUCGAGAGGAACACUCGUGGCGAAGGCGGGUUCCUGGACAUUAACUGACGCUGAGGCACGAAGGCCAGGGGAGCGAAAGGGAUUAGAUACCCCUGUAGUCCUGGCAGUAAACGGUGCACGCUUGGUGUGCGGGGAAUCGACCCCCUGCGUGCCGGAGCUAACGCGUUAAGCGUGCCGCCUGGGGAGUACGGUCGCAAGAUUAAAACUCAAAGAAAUUGACGGGGACCCGCACAAGCGGUGGAGUAUGUGGCUUAAUUCGAUGCAACGCGAAGAACCUUACCUGGG